rfam:Strongylocentrotus purpuratus Contig101867_fixed, whole genome shotgun sequence.
UCCUUGGUAGUAUAGUGGUGAGUAUCUCCGCCUGUCACGCGGAAGACCAGGGUUCGAUUUCCCGCCAAGGAG